rnacentral:tRNA from 1 species
AGGUAGUAUGGCCGAGAGCUAGGCGGUGAGCUGUAGACUCGCAUAGGGGCCAAGUAGGGGGCCCUGCUAC